rnacentral:tRNA from 1 species
GGGUGAUUAGCUCAGUUGGCUAGAGCGUUUGCUUGACGUGCAAGAGGCCACAGGUUCGAGUCCUGUAUCACCCA